UGGGGAAUAUUGCACAAUGGGCGCAAGCCUGAUGCAGCAACGCCGCGUGAGGGACGACGGCCUUCGGGUUGUAAACCUCUUUCAGUAGGGAAGAAGCGAAAGUGACGGUACCUGCAGAAAAAGCACCGGCUAACUACGUGCCAGCAGCCGCGGUAAUACGUAGGGUGCGAGCGUUGUCCGGAAUUAUUGGGCGUAAAGAGCUCGUAGGCGGUCUGUCGCGUCUGCUGUGAAAACCCGAGGCUCAACCUCGGGCCUGCAGUGGGUACGGGCAGACUAGAGUGCGGUAGGGGAGAAUGGAAUUCCUGGUGUAGCGGUGAAAUGCGCAGAUAUCAGGAGGAACACCGAUGGCGAAGGCAGUUCUCUGGGCCGUAACUGACGCUGAGGAGCGAAAGCGUGGGGAGCGAACAGGAUUAGAUACCCUGGUAGUCCACGCCGUAAACGUUGGGCGCUAGAUGUGGGGACCAUUCCACGGUUUCCGUGUCGCAGCUAACGCAUUAAGCGCCCCGCCUGGGGAGUACGGCCGCAAGGCUAAAACU
rnacentral:rRNA from 1 species